rnacentral:lncRNA from 1 species
UAUCCUCUUCUUAUUUUACCAUUUUAUAAAAUAAUUAUUUUCAACUAAUCUUCUUUUAUAUGAGUAAAAAAUUUCAUAUAAAAGAAAUUUUUUACUGAGGGACAUAUAUAUAUAUUUUAUUCUUUAAAAAACUUUGAAAAUCAGUGGAUAAAAAGCUGCCAAUCAUGGAUUGGAAAGUAUUAAAAACCACUAUUUCUUAAUUUAUGUAUAUAGAUGCAAAUGAUGAAAGCUGACUUUUGUGGAAACUGAUGUGGAAAUGACUGGACAUAAUAUGUUAGAACUUGGUGCAGUAAAUUAUGAGGUUGUAUAUAAGGGGGUUUUUUUUUUUUUUUUUUUUUAUGUUUUUAUGUUAAAUUUAAGCAAAAAUAAUACUUGUUUUUUUUCUAUCAUUUUUCAUUUGCUUACUCACUCUAAUUUAUUAACUAUACCCUCAUUUAUUUUUGUGAUGUGCAGAGAGUUAAUUAUUUUUGGGAUAAAAAAAUUGUUGAUCAAAUUAAUCAAAAUCGAUGUGGAUCAAUUGUUUUGUACUACUUUGAUUACUUAUUUUUCGAGUAGUAGUCUAUACUUUUGGAUGUUGAUAUCAACUAUAUGAGUAGGCUAUUGAUGUUCUUAGUUCAUUUCUAAAUUUACUCUAAAUUUCAAUAUUUGUAUUGGUUUCAUUUUUUGAAAUUAUGGAGGAAGUGAUUAUACAUGAGUUGGUAUUGAGAAUCAUGUUCUUUAAUUAUUAUAGGUUUAAUGGUUAUUGAAAAAUAAAUAUUUAAAAAGAAAUGAAUCUUUAUGGCAUACAAAACGUAGUGAUCAUAUAAAAUUUCAUCAUUUUUACGGCAUGCUGGUGCAAGCGUAAAAAAUAAAAUAAAAUGAGACGAACAUUUACGACAUACAAAAAUGUUUGCCUUAAAAAAUAUUAUCUUAUAACGGCAUGCAAACUCAUGCCGUAAAAGGUUAAUCAUUUAUGGCAUGCAAGGCAUGUCGUAACUAGUUCAUUAAUGGCGUGCUUUUUGUUUUUUACAGCUUGCGUAGAAUGCCAUAAAAAGAUACGCGUAUUUAUGGCAUGACUUUAUACGACAUGCGUAAACUACUUUUUAAUGCAUGACGUAAAAAGAAAACUUUGUUGUAGUCCUUUUUCAUUUGUGAUCAAUUAGAUGAGAAAUUCGAUUUUCAAUCAUCGUGAAAUUGUCAAAUCAUGUUUGGUCUAGUCUAAUGUUUCAAUGCAGAAGAGGACAAUAUCUAACCAACGCUUUCCUUGUUGUUCGUAUGUGAGGAUGAAGUGAGAAACUAAAAGCAUGUUUGGAAAGUAUUUGUAAUUGAUUUAAUAAAUAAAUAAAAAGAGUGAUGAAUAACUAAGUAAUACUUAUAUAAGUUUUCAGAAUGUGUAAAUAGAAAGUUAUUUGAGUGUUUAUAAAUAAUUCAUAUAUAUGACUAUGAGACAAGCAUAAGCAAAGUAUCAUUUUGAUGUGUUCUUUAUUGAUGCAAGAGCUGAAAUAUUCAUUUUUCAGAAUAAUUUUAAAUUCAAGAAAUGUCAAUUCGUUAAUAGACGGUAAAUUAAAUAAAUAUCGUUCACUAUUCUUUUCAACUAGGUAGAUAAUAUAGAGACGUAGACUUUUAGAUAUUGAUACGCGCCUUGUGGCUGUUACAAAUAAAGUACGGCACGUUAUCUUCUUGUGAAAUUAUAUAAUAAUUUAACAAAAGAAAUUGAGGGAUUCAACUUUUUAUAAGUGGUGGGCAACUUUUUUUAACAGUUACUCAUUUCUUGUACUUAUCACUUAAAUUUGAAUAUAAUUAUUAUUAUUUUUUAGCGGUAGGGAAAUUGAAGGGUUCAACUUUUUAUAAGUGGUAGGCA